UACGUAGGUGGCAAGCGUUGUCCGGAAUUAUUGGGCGUAAAGCGCGCGCAGGCGGUUUCUUAAGUCUGAUGUGAAAGCCCACGGCUCAACCGUGGAGGGUCAUUGGAAACUGGGAGACUUGAGUGCGGAAGAGAAGAGCGGAAUUCCACGUGUAGCGGUGAAAUGCGUAGAGAUGUGGAGGAACACCAGUGGCGAAGGCGGCUCUUUGGUCUGUAACUGACGCUGAGGCGCGAAAGCGUGGGGAGCGAACAGG
rnacentral:rRNA from 1 species